rnacentral:rRNA from 1 species
UACGGAAGGUCCGGGCGUUAUCCGGAUUUAUUGGGUUUAAAGGGAGCGCAGGCCGGAUAUUAAGCGUGACGUGAAAUGCCGCGGCUCAACCGUGGAAGUGCGUCGCGAACUGGUUUUCUUGAGUGCGGACGAGGGAGGCGGAAUUCGUGGUGUAGCGGUGAAAUGCUUAGAUACCACGAAGAACCCCGAUUGCGAAGGCAGCCUCCCAGGCCGUAACUGACGCUAAAGCUCGAAGGUGCGGGUAUCGAAC